UGAGCCUCACACGGCUGGGAUGACACUCCUAUCAACUCCGACCACCACUGCCGCUUAUCAAGGUCAAAUCACCGGUUGACCCUUCACCAGCAGCCCCAAUCUUUCUCACUAAUUCAGCCCGACGCCCAAUGAAAGUUGAGCCCAGUCAGAGACAAUGGUCACACAAAUUGGUCCGAGCCAAAGCCUCCUGAGCAUGUUUCCACCCCAGGCAAACAGGACAGCACUCUGGAGUUUGAUCAGUUGAAUCUGGUAUCUUUGCAGUCAGUCAGGCAAUUUGUCCAGAGUACCAAGAGACGAGGCCUACCGCUGCACAUCUUAGUCAACAAUGCGGUGGUCAUGUUGGUCCCUGAGGGUCGUACAGAGGAGGGCUUUGAGCGUCACUUUGGGAUCAACUACCUAGGUCACUUCCUGUUGACCUUGCUGCUGUUAGACACAUUAAAGCAUUCUGGGAAACGUGGUUCCUGCUCACGUGUUGUCACCCUCUCCUCGUCAGCUCAUGGUGCUGGAGAGAUACAACUAGACAGCCUGCUAAACAGUCUUCAGGCAGUGUUAUUCGGCCCAUGCGGCGUACUCCCAGAGUAAGCUGGCACUACUGUUAUUUUCCUCCCACCUGCAACAGAGGCUGGAUAGAGGAGGGUUUCCAGUGAGCUCAUGUGCAGUGGACCCUGGGAUGGUCGACACUUCACUCUACUGCCACCUCUUCCCCACCGCCCGCCUCGCACAGACAGCCAUCGCACGCCUGCUCUUUAGGAGCCCGUCCCAGGGAGCGUCCACGGUCCUCUACACUGCUCUAUUUCCGUCUCUGGAGGGGGAGGGAGGAGCCUACUGGAGCAAUGGGCGCACAGAGAUGACAUCACCAAACACCUACGACCCACAGCUCCAUUGUGGCCUCUGGGACUCCAGCUGCAGACAAGUUGGCCUGCCAUGACCCCUGACCUUCAACCCCUGACCCUGACCCCCAACAUGGGACUGGAUGUCUGAGACCCAACACUUAGUCUGUCUGACUGGUGUUGUCUUUGUUUUGACAAUAUCCUCACCACCAGGCUGUGAUUGGACUGAUGACGACCAUGGCUAGACUGAUUGGUUAGUAAAGCGUUAAGUCCCUUCCCAUGCUGUUCAAAUGAAUGUGCUAAUGGGAAUGAAGCAACCUUCUCCCUCUGGCACUGUGAACAUACACACACAUACACUAUGUUAAGGGUAUUCAUAGUGCUGCUAUGAGUGUCUGUAGCGCCACUAUGAGUGUUAAUAGUGACCUUAUAAGUGUUCAUAGCAACCUUAUGACUGUUGGUUGACAGAUCAGAUCUUCCAGAACAGAAAGCACCUUCCCUCCAUGGGAGAACUUACUUUUGUCAUAAACAAGUGUCAUCAGUGUGUGUGUGUAUGUGUCUGUGUGUACUUGUCAUCAGUGAAUGUGUGUGCUUAUUAUGAUGUUAGAAGCAUCCAGGAGCAUCUGGUGUUCUGAUCCAUCUGUGAAGCAUAUACUGACCCCUGCCCGAGUGGAGGGUCCAGGACCAAUGAACAAGCCAGCAUGGUAACAUCAGUGAAUCACAGCCUGAAACUGAUAUUUUCAGUUCUUGUGAAAGCAAAGGGGAUUUUGUGGAAUUCUUGCCAAAGCUGCUGGUUUCCUCUCCAGGGGGCAGAAAUCAUCUGAGAGAAGGUCUUUAAAUUGUGUCCCGCCUCCUGGGCUGUGAGUCACACACACCUGUCUCAUGGUAUUUCUCUUUUACUGUUAGAGCUGAGCGAUGGUUUAUCAAUAUGCACAUAUCACCUCUCUCAAGUCCAGUCGUUGUGUGUGUUUCUGUGCACAGUGUGUGUAUUUGUGUGUGUUUCUGUGCACAGUGUGUGUAUUUGUGUGUGCGCUGUUUGUGUGUUUCUUCCAGUCAUUGGUUUGUAUGCAUCCAUAAAAAGGCAGCACAACUGAAACCAGUACUGAUAUUUGUGGCAGAGGGAGAGAAAGACAGUGAGUAAAGGAAAAGGAGACAGAGAGAUUCUUCAUCUACUCUCUCUGCUGCUACCUCGUUUGGCUUUGCUCCCAGUGCAUUCAUUGUGGGAGGGAAAUAUCCCAGUGAAAAUUCAGCAAAAUUAAGACAAAGACAAACAGUCACACACACAGAGGCAGAGUGUGACCAAAAAUGGGCCCUGUCAUUUCUAACACACUGGCCAUUUCGUUCCUUGAGGACCUCAUUAUUAGCCAGAUGAUUAUCAUUUUGAGUUAAAACCUAAGUUAGACAGGCCCAGUAGGCUGGACCAGCCCAUCUGGCAAGUCUGCCCCUGUGAAGAAAAAAACAAAAAACACACACAUAUAUAUUCAACUGUGCAUCCAAUCACACACAUGCUUAUCUAAACAAUCAACUCAUACUAUCAUGGCCCAGGCUGGCCUCAUAAACUAGACGUACCAUAGUGAAUUAAAGUCCAGACACUCAAAUUAGUAUCAUAUGUUACAUUUAGCAACACAAAGGUUGUGUGUUCGUAUCUCAUAAUGGACAGCUUUAGCGUUUUAGCUAAUUAGCAACUUUGCAACUACAUACUACUUUUGAGCUACUUUGCAACUAUUUAGCAUGUUAGCUAACCCUUCCCCUAAACUUAACCCUUUAACCUAACUCCUAACCUUAACCCUAGCGUGUGUUUACUUAGCAGAACACGUGUCAAACUGUCAGAGUUUAUCUAGAGGACAGCGAAGGAGUCAGGCGCAGGACACAGGUAAGAGUAAAACCACUGUGUUUACUGAGCAGAACACGUGUCAAACUGUCAGAGUCUAUCUAGAGGAGAGCGAAGGAGUCAGGUAAGAGUAAAACCACUGUGUUUACUGAGCAGAACACGUGUCAAACUGUCAGAGUCUAUCUAGAGGAGAGCGAAGGAGUCAGGUAAGAGUAAAACCACUGUGUUUACUGAGCAGAACACGUGUCAAACUGUCAGAGUCUAUCUAGAGGAGAGCGAAGGAGUCAGGCGCAGGACACAGGUAAGAGUAAAACCACUGUGUUUACUGAGCAGAACACGUGUCAAACUGUCAGAGUCUAUCUAGAGGACAGCAAAGUAGUCAGGCGCAGGACACAUGUAAGAGUAAAACCACUGUGUUUACUGAGCAGAACACGUGUCAAACUGUCAGUUUAUCUAGAGGACAGCGAAGGACUCAGGCGCAGGACACAGGUAAGAGUAAAACCACUGUGUUUACUGAGCAGAACACGUGUCAAACUGUCAGAGUCUAUCUAGAGGAGAGCGAAGGAGUCAGGCGCAGGACACAGGUAAGAGUAAAACCACUGUGUUUACUGAGCAGAACACGUGUCAAACUAUUUACUCCAUCCGAGAACGGAACAAAAAUCCCGUUAUAAAACAAAUACAAAAAAGGAUACGAACUCCAACACACGAAAGACAAUCACGCACAAAACAGAAAGGGAAACCAGAGGGUUAAAUAAGGAACAUAAUCAUGAGAUGGGAACCAGGUGU